CCUCACCUAGAACUGUGCUUUGCUAGGUCUCUCUCUUCUCCAGUCAAGUUAUGAUCAACUCUGUCAGUUGUUGCUGUCUAAGAAUGCCUUUAUUUUCACAGUAUAUCUAUGUGUUUGUGUGAGUGCAUGUCACUUGGUGCAUGUGUUUGCCAAGACCAAAGGAGGAUGUCAGAUUCCCUAGAGCUGGAGUUUCAGGCAAUUGUGAGCAACUGGAUUUGGCUGCUAGGAAUCAAACACGGACAUUCUGGAAAAAGAACAGUAAGCUGUGGUUUCCUUUGGAAAGUCUACAAUACUGCUGCUCUAAAAACUACCAAUAUGCCUGGAGACCAUACCAUCAGAGGAAGAAGUGGUUUCGAAGCCAGUGACUCCCCCAGGAAGGGGUCAUUUUUUUUUCCAAAUUUUGACUGCUUUCCAUGAGCAGCCUGUUAGUAUCUGGAGCCCUCAAGGAGUUGCUUUGUCAAGUUUUCUGUUCUAAUCAGCAGGAUAUAGAGAGAGUUAUUGGGAUUAGACA